rnacentral:rRNA from 1 species
UGGGGAAUAUUGCACAAUGGGCGCAAGCCUGAUGCAGCCAUGCCGCGUGUGUGAAGAAGGCCUUCGGGUUGUAAAGCACUUUCAGCGGGGAGGAAGGCGGUGAGGUUAAUAACCUCACCGAUUGACGUUACCCGCAGAAGAAGCACCGGCUAACUCCGUGCCAGCAGCCGCGGUAAUACGGAGGGUGCAAGCAUUAAUCGGAAUUACUGGGCGUAAAGCGCACGCAGGCGGUUUGUUAAGUCAGAUGUGAAAUCCCCGGGCUCAACCUGGGAACUGCAUCUUAUACUGGCAAGCUUGAGUCUCGUAGAGGGGGGUAGAAUUCCAGGUGUAGCGGUGAAAUGCGUAGAGAUCUGGAGGAAUACCUGUGGCGAAGGCGGCCCCCUGUACAAAGACUGACGCUCAGGUGCGAAAGCGUGGGGAGCAAACAGG